rnacentral:rRNA from 1 species
GAUGAACGCUGGCGGCGUGCCUAAUACAUGCAAGUCGAGCGAACAGACGAGGAGCUUGCUCCUCUGACGUUAGCGGCGGACGGGUGAGUAACACGUGGAUAACCUACCUAUAAGACUGGGAUAACUUCGGGAAACCGGAGCUAAUACCGGAUAAUAUAUUGAACCGCAUGGUUCAAUAGUGAAAGACGGUUUUGCUGUCACUUAUAGAUGGAUCCGCGCCGCAUUAGCUAGUUGGUAAGGUAACGGCUUACCAAGGCAACGAUGCGUAGCCGACCUGAGAGGGGGAACGGCCACAAUGGAAUUGAGACACGGUCCAGACUCCUACGGGAGGCAGCAGAGGGGAAUCUUCCGCAAUGGGGGAAAGCCUGAGGGAGCAACGCCGGGGGAGGGAGGAAGGUUUUUGGAUCGUAAAACUCUGUUAUUAGGGAAAAAAAAAUGUGUAAGUAACUAUGCACGUUUUGACGGUACCAAAUCAGAAAGCAACGGCUAACUACGU